CGGGGUGCUCGAGUGGCGAACGGGUGAGUAACACGUGGGUGAUCUGCCCUGCACUUUGGGAUAAGCCUGGGAAACUGGGUCUAAUACCGAAUAUGAUCAUGGCCUUCAUGGGUUGUGGUGGAAAGCUUUUGCGGUGUGGGAUGGGCCCGCGGCCUAUCAGCUUGUUGGUGGGGUAAUGGCCUACCAAGGCGACGACGGGUAGCCGGCCUGAGAGGGUGACCGGCCACACUGGGACUGAGAUACGGCCCAGACUCCUACGGGAGGCAGCAGUGGGGAAUAUUGCACAAUGGGCGCAAGCCUGAUGCAGCGACGCCGCGUGAGGGAUGACGGCCUUCGGGUUGUAAACCUCUUUCAGCACAGACGAAGCGCAAGUGACGGUAUGUGCAGAAGAAGGACCGGCCAACUACGUGCCAGCAGCCGCGGUAAUACGUAGGGUCCGAGCGUUGUCCGGAAUUACUGGGCGUAAAGAGCUCGUAGGUGGUUUGUCGCGUUGUUCGUGAAAACUCACAGCUUAACUGUGGGCGUGCGGGCGAUACGGGCAGACUGGAGUACUGCAGGGGAGACUGGAAUUCCUGGUGUAGCGGUGGAAUGCGCAGAUAUCAGGAGGAACACCGGUGGCGAAGGCGGGUCUCUGGGCAGUAACUGACGCUGAGGAGCGAAAGCGUGGGGAGCGAACAGGAUUAGAUACCCUGGUAGUCCACGCCGUAAACGGUGGGUACUA
rnacentral:rRNA from 1 species